rnacentral:rRNA from 1 species
AUGGAGACGAGCUAUGAGGUGCCACAUCAUAUAGACCUCCUACAACAAGACAGCAACAAGACGAUCAAGCAAGGGCCAUCCCCUUCGACCACGGCGAUGAGCGCGGACCUCUCCAACAACAUGAAGAAGACGCACAUAUUGGAAUCAUACUCCGAGUCAAGCUACGCGACCGCACAUGGAGACAUUUGCACCUACAUCUCUCCGACACCCGCAUAUGUCGAGAUGCCCCAAUUGCCAUGUGAGGAGAUCCACCACCACAUGAGUGACAUGAGUGAAUCCACCAUAUGUGACAUUGAGUGCAUUUCCUAUGAGAGGAUGAGUGUGACCACCACUAGCCCCACACAUGAGAGCAUGCCACACAUCCUAUGUGAGGUUGAGAGCCAUUUGUGUGACUCCACCAACCAUAUGAGUGAGAGCAUCUUACCGGGAGUGAGUGAGCCACAACACUUAGUGAGUGAGGUAGUUGAGAUGGCAUGUGAGGCCCUAUGA